AGCUGUUUAAUUUCUACAUUAUAAAGACGUGCUUUUAUUUUGAACGGUAGGGGAAAUAGAUCAAGACGGAAUAUCAAUAACGGAAGCUGUGUCGUCCCAAAGAAAGAUACUUUUCAUAUAAGAACUCACGAUUGAACCGUGCGUCGUUUCUCCAGACACUCAAGGAAGACACAUGGAUCCUUUGAUGAAGGCUGCGGCCAUUGGAGCGGGAGUAUUAGGUGCUGUUGUCCUGGCUCCUGUUGCUCUGGCAGCAGCAGGUUUCACAGCAGCUGGAAUAGCAGCUGGCUCCAUCGGUGCGAAAAUGAUGUCGACCGCUGCAGUCGCUAACGGGGGAGGAGUGGCAGCAGGAGGGCUGGUGGCUGGUUUGCAGGCAAUGGGUGCAGCUGGUCUGUCAGGAGCUGCGACUGCAGCUGUGGCAGGCACUGGAGCAGCAGUGGGAUGGCUGGCGAGCUUCUUCCGCUGAAGAAAAGUGCACCAGUGUACCUACUAAACAACUCAUGUGAUGUCAGACUUCUCCAAUGUUGUGUUCAAUACAUCUGUGUAACCUAUGAACGACUCUGGUUCUUGUGUGUCAUCUGUAAACUUUUACUUUCCUCAUCAUGUCCACCAAAAAGGACUGAGUGAGUGAUUGGAAGGUUCAUUAGCUUUUUUUUUUUUUUUUUUUUUUUUUUAAAUGAAAGGAGCAUUUUUUUUCUGGUCACAGUUAAGUUGUGGACCAUAAAACCCAAAUACGAAUGAAAGAUACGAUAAAGCUGAGGGGACCUGCAUAGUCGGGACAUUAUCAGCUGUGUGUUUAUAGGAUCAUGUCAAUCCGGGCUGUGUCUUAUCACAUUGGCUCCUCUCCUUAGACACUAACAAUUUCACACCCCAAGAUAAUUCAGUCACCAUUCUUAAUCUUUUACACCCCACGGCCCCCAAAUAAGGGGGCAAAUUAGGGGACUCUGGAAAGAUAAUGAUAAAAUAAUAUCAUGAUGUUUCACAUCAAAUUAAACAGCAGAACGUAAGCUACAGUAAUUUGUAAGCCGUUUUCAAAUGCUACAAAAACAACUCACAAUAGUAAAAAUAAGAACUCAAGUAUCAUAUUCAUAAUUUAUGAAAGAGAUAAUCAUAUGAAAGAGAUAAUCAACAUAUAAGUGUUUUUUACAAGGCGAACCUGUAACUUUUUUAAUUUGUGCUGUGUGCCAUCUUCAUUUAAUCUUAACCAGUAACAUAGGCUGAUAUUUACACAUCUGGAGUAUUCUCACAAGUGUUUACUAUUAUUAUGACACCAACAUUAUUCAAAUAGCCCUUGUGGUAGAGGAGAUACACCCUUUUUCAGUUUGGGUAUGUUUUAUGUGCAGAAUCCUAAAGAAAUAGGCUGGGGUGGUAUGCUGAUCAUGAAAGCAUAAGGGAAGAAAUGCCUCGAAUGCUUAUAAACUUGGUUUAUAUAAAUAUAAAUGUUGAAGACAUUUAUCCUCACAGUAGCUGCAUGCUUUACAUGCUGGAAUAACACUAUUGUGAUCUUUUAAGUAUAAAUACUUAACAUUGCACUUUACUCUUUAAAAAAUAAAAUGUAUCCCCUCCGAGAACAAAACAUUAUUUUCUUCCGUGUCUUGAAGAUGAAAGUUUGACCUGAAUGCAGGUUUGAAGGAGCAGUCAGAACUAAACUGGUUUAGCAACUCUUUAGUGUUUCUGUCUUUUGUCUUUGUUCAUAUGUUCCACAUAUCGGGAUGACAUACCACCUCAGACAUUGUAAAUACGUCAGUCUAUUUGGGUUAAGUGGACUCUGUGACGCCCUCUUUAGUUCAGAUUCGUAGUUUCAUUUCAUGAGAAAUGAAACUCACCCUCAGCAUAUAAAGCCUGCCCAGUCGUCCAGAGUCCAGUAGACAGAGAGAUGGGGCUGUUAACGUUCGUGGCUUUGGGAGGAGGAGCAGUGGUUGGUUUGGUCGGGGCUCCUAUUGUUCUGGGGGCCGUAGGUUUCACCUCAGUUGGGAUAGCAGCAGGCUCCUAUGCUGCGAGCAUGAUGUCGGCUGCUGCUGUCGCUAACGGGGGAGUAGUGGACCGCCGGAAGCACAGUGGCUGUUUUGCAGGCAAUGGGUGCAGCUGGUUUGACAGCAGCUGCCAAUGUGGCUGCAGCCACCGCGGGAGCAGGCGUCGGAGGAGCUGCGUUAGGACUGGCUGCACUUAUUUGAAAAUCAUGAAGGAUCAAUUUACAUUUUUAAGCACUUUUCUUCUUCAACUUAUGCCAAUUAGGAGGCAAUUGGAAAUUACACCACUACCUUUACAGCACUUGUGUAAUCUCGGACAAUUUAAAUGUUUUGUUCAAUAAAUCUGCGUAACAUCA